UACAGAGGUGGCAAGCGUUGUUCGGAAUUACUGGGCGUAAAGGGCGUGUAGGCGGUUAGUUAAGUCUGGCGUGAAAGCUCUCGGCUAAACCGGGAGAGGUCGUUGGAUACUGGCAAACUUGAGGACGGUAGAGGCGUGUGGAAUUCCGGGUGUAGUGGUGAAAUGCGUAGAGAUCCGGAGGAACACCAGUGGCGAAGGCGACACGCUGGGCCGUACCUGACGCUAAAGCGCGACAGCAUGGGGAGCAAACGGG
rnacentral:rRNA from 1 species